CACGUAGGGCGCAAGCGUUGUCCGGAAUUAUUGGGCGUAAAGAGCUCGUAGGUGGUUUGUUACGUCUGCUGUGAAAUCCUAGGGCUUAACCCUGGGUUUGCAGUGGAUACGGGCAGACUAGAGGUAGGUAGGGGAGAAUGGAAUUCCUGGUGUAGCGGUGAAAUGCGCAGAUAUCAGGAAGAACACCAAUGGCGAAAGCAGCUUUCUGGGACGGUACUGACGCUGAGACGCGAAAGCGUGGGGAGCGAACAGG
rnacentral:rRNA from 1 species